CUCGUUCAUAUACCAUGGACAGAAGGCACUUAAGAAGAAAAUGGAGAUAGGCAAGUACAGAUGAAACCUGGACCACACCUAACAUUUUCCAAGUUUUGUGGCUUGUAAGGAGGUGGAUCCCGUGUAUGCGCUACAAAGACGACGAGAUGCCGAAGGCCAUGAAAAGUGAUGAUAGUUCACAUUAGUUGAUGAAAACUUGUAAAAAAGGAAAACAGAAUAGGCUGGGUCUUGGGGGCAAGUGCUUUCAUGUCCAUGGGUAGAGAUUAGUUGAAUGGC
rnacentral:pre_miRNA from 1 species